rnacentral:rRNA from 1 species
GACGAACGCUGGCGGCGUGCCUAAUACAUGCAAGUUGAGCGCUGAAGGUUGGUACUUGUACCAACUGGAUGAGCAGCGAACGGGUGAGUAACGCGUGGGGAAUCUGCCUUUGAGCGGGGGACAACAUUUGGAAACGAAUGCUAAUACCGCAUAAAAACUUUAAACACAAGUUUUAAGUUUGAAAGAUGCAAUUGCAUCACUCAAAGAUGAUCCCGCGUUGUAUUAGCUAGUUGGUGAGGUAAAGGCUCACCAAGGCGAUGAUACAUAGCCGACCUGAGAGGGUGAUCGGCCACAUUGGGACUGAGACACGGCCCAAACUCCUACGGGAGGCAGCAGUAGGGAAUCUUCGGCAAUGGACGAAAGUCUGACCGAGCAACGCCGCGUGAGUGAAGAAGGUUUUCGGAUCGUAAAACUCUGUUGGUAGAGAAGAACGUUGGUGAGAGUGGAAAGCUCAUCAAGUGACGGUAACUACCCAGAAGGAGACGGCUAACUACGUG